rnacentral:rRNA from 1 species
UACGGAGGGUGCAAGCGUUAUCCUGAUUCACUGGGUUUAAAGGGUGCGUAGGUGGGCAGGUAAGUCAGUGGUGAAAUCUCCGAGCUUAACUCGGAAACUGCCGUUGAUACUAUUUGUCUUGAAUAUUGUGGAGGUAAGCGGAAUAUGUCAUGUAGCGGUGAAAUGCUUAGAUAUGACAUAGAACACCAAUUGCGAAGGCAGCUUACUACACAACGAUUGACGCUGAGGCACGAAAGCGUGGGGAUCAAACAGG